rnacentral:rRNA from 1 species
GACGAACGCUGGCGGCGUGCUUAACACAUGCAAGUCGAACGAUGAAGCUGGAGCUUGCUCCGGUGGAUUAGUGGCGAACGGGUGAGUAACACGUGAGCAAUCUGCCCUUGACUCUGGGAUAACUGCGGGAAACUGUAGCUAAUACCGGAUAUGAGGCUUGGAGGCAUCUCCAGGUCUGGAAAGAAUUUCGGUCAAGGAUGAGCUCGCGGCCUAUCAGCUAGUUGGUGAGGUAAUGGCUCACCAAGGCGACGACGGGUAGCCGGCCUGAGAGGGUGACCGGCCACACUGGGACUGAGACACGGCCCAGACUCCUACGGGAGGCAGCAGUGGGGAAUAUUGCACAAUGGGCGAAAGCCUGAUGCCGCAACGCCGCGUGAGGGAUGAAGGCCUUCGGGUUGUAAACCUCUUUUAGCAGGGAAGAAGCGAAAGUGACGGUACCUGCAGAAAAAGCACCGGCUAACUACGUGCCAGCAGCCGCCGUAA